rnacentral:rRNA from 1 species
UACGAAGGGGGUUAGCGUUGCUCGGAAUCACUGGGCGUAAAGGGUGCGUAGGCGGGUCUUUAAGUCAGGGGUGAAAUCCUGGAGCUCAACUCCAGAACUGCCUUUGAUACUGAAGAUCUUGAGUCCGGGAGAGGUGAGUGGAACUGCGAGUGUAGAGGUGAAAUUCGUAGAUAUUCGCAAGAACACCAGUGGCGAAGGCGGCUCACUGGCCCGGUACUGACGCUGAGGCACGAAAGCGUGGGUAGCGAACAGG